AUACCUUUCUCGGCCUUUUGGCUAAGAUCAAGUGUAGUAUCUGUUCUUAUCAGUUUAAUAUCUGGUACGUGGGCCAAUGGCCCACCCAAUAUUAAAUUUAUUUUUUUAGGGGAAGGGCCCAACACAAUAGCUUGCUAUUGGGGCUUUUAAGCGUUGCCCAUGCGUUGCACUAUAGCACGGGCCUAGCGCACCCCUC